GGCGCUGUAGUGUAGCGGUUAUCACUCGAGAUUCUGAUUAACAUGGAUUUCUCGAAACCCAGGUUCGAUUCCUGGCAGUGCCU
rnacentral:tRNA from 1 species